GCGAGCAGACAGAGCUAACGGGUCACGAGCUGCCCUUUGCUGUGGACCGUGCCUGAUUUCAAAUAAUCUCGCCUUUAUGCAGUAAAUAGUGAACCAUGCCGAACGGCCGUGGUAAAGGAAGGAAACGGAAAGGACCGGCUCGGAGAGUUACUCCGGCCUACAGUGUCCUGUCAGAGGACCAGCCAGGGACGAGUACAGCAGGGUUGAUCCCCGCCUCAGACUCAGAUGACACUCCCCAGAUAUCACAGUCCAGCCAGGCGAGCCGACCAAGCACUGCUUUUGUAAGUUUAUCACAUAUUGAUGCUGUAGGAUAAAAAUAAUGAAAUAGAGUGCUUCCUCUGUCUGUUGUCAUCAUAUGUUGUCUGCGUCAUUGGUUUAAAUAACAUCUCCUCCCAAACUGCUGAGCAUAUUUCAGCUUAAUGUUAGUGAAAGCAUUUUUUGCUCACCUGCCCAAAGUGCAAGUGAGCUUAUGCCAUGGCGUGGCGUUUGUUGUCUGUCGUCUGUCUGUAAACUUUUCCUUAAAACGCAACUAGUCCUGAAUGAUUAAGAGUAUUUUAACUAAAUUUGGUCUGGAUUAUCCUCAGCCAAAGGGGAUACAAUUUUGUAUAAACUGAGGGUUUGGCCUGCUUAGGGACAGUGGAGUAGGGCAAAAUAGGGGAAUUGAAGAAAAUCAAUUGUCGAGAAUAUUGGGCAAGGGGAAUUCCAUUUUAUAUAAACAGAGGGUGUUUAAAAUUCUUUCGUACAAAUGGAGGGAUUCAAACCAAAUCUGGUUUAGAGCAUCCUUGGGCAAAGAAGA
rnacentral:lncRNA from 1 species